rnacentral:rRNA from 1 species
AGGACAAACGCUGGCGGCGUACCUAAGACAUGCAAGUCGAACGGAUUGCAGAUCUUCGGAUUUGUAGUGAGUGGCGAACGGGUGAGUAACGCGUAGGAACCCGCCUCGACGUGGGGGGAUAACACUUGGAAACAGGUGCUAAUACCGCAUGUGGUCGAGAGAAGAAAGGCUUGAGGAAUCAAGUCGCGUUGAGAGGGGCCUGCGUCCGAUUAGCUAGUUGGUGGGGUAAAGGCUUACCAAGGCGACGAUCGGUAGCUGGUCUGAGAGGAUGGUCAGCCACACUGGGACUGAGACACGGCCCAGACUCCUACGGGAGGCAGCAGUGGGGGAAUAUUGCGCAAUGGGCGAAAGCCUGACGCAGCGACGCCGCGUGGGGGAUGAAGGCCUUCGGGUUGUAAACCCCUUUCAGCAGGGACGAAGCGAAAGUGACGGUACCUGCAGAAGAAGCGCCGGCUAACUACGUGCCAGCAGCCGC